AAAAAAGCAAACUCUGGGUUUUCAUGUCCAACUUUGACUGUCCGUCUUAUAUGAAUUUUUUUUAUAAUUUGUAUUUUUAUUGUUAUUAGAUGAUAAAGCAUGAUUAAUAUUUUAUACGUGACUUGUCUUUUUAAUUUUUUUCAAAUAGGACGGACGGUCAAACGUUGGACACGGAAAUCAGGUCUGUCUUUUUU
rfam:Oryza nivara chromosome 6, whole genome shotgun sequence.